UAUAUUUGAGUAUUUGAGGUAUAGAAAUUUUUGAUAUUUCUGGAAAUAGUUUGAUUCUAUUAAAUAUAA
rnacentral:tRNA from 1 species